CUUUCAUGUAAAUUUCAAAUAGAUUUUAUUUUUUCAGUUUAUCUGUUAGAGAGAGAUUAGAGUUUGUUGAAGGUGAUGAUUUGAAUCUGAAAGACAUGCAUAUUGAGCCUCCAAAAGUGAAUGUAGACUCUGAUGAAGAUUUAGGAGUAGGAGAUAGUGCCAAUCUCAUCAAUAAUCUUACUGGAAUACAACUGCAAGCAUCUUCUGAAGCAGUAUUUUCAGAUGGUUGUAGAAUUGGUAAUGACAAUAUAGAUGGAAGAAAGCAGAGAAGAGGGAAGAGGAACCUAUUUCCAGCAUGAGGAAUGUAAGAUUAGAUAUAUGCAAAUACAGAAUUAGAACCAGAGGGGAAAAAAUGAUGAUAGUGCAUAUUCACAUGAAUGAUUGAAGUCUUCCUUUACUAAUAUACUGCAAUCACUUUUUUCAAUAAUUUCACAAAGUUCGGCACUAUCUGCG
rnacentral:lncRNA from 1 species